UUUGUAUGUCUCAAUAUAAUAGUAUUAUUUAAUUAAAUCCAUUUAAAAUGAUCUUUGUCUGAAAAUAAAAUAUGAUCCUCAACUGCGUUUCCCUCCAGUCAGCAGACGGCGAUGUGCGUCUUUCAGGCGACGCUGCCAGCGUGACGUAUAAUCUAGUGGACGGUUCUUCAUAAACAGCUCGUCAACCACCUCGGUAGUUUGCUAGCCAACAUAGCCGAAAGAUUCAAGCUAUUUAUACGCUUUCGGUGUAUAUAUUAGCUACUGUGUUUUCGACACACUUAGGUCGUAUCUACUUGUUAAUUUAUUUAAUUUAAUAUUACGUUAUUUUGUAUUAGUCAGCUAUAGUAGCUGGCUGGUUAAAUUAGCACUAGCCUAGUCGCUAAUGAUAGCUAGCUAGCUAACAUCCCCGAACAUGAGCUCCCUAAACUUCUCCCCUCUUGUUAUAGAAGAGGAGGUCUGCUGGACGGAGAAAGGAGGUCUGUGGCUGAACGUUGUGGUGAAAGAGGAGGAGGAAGAGGAGGCUGUUACAGUGAAAGAAGAGGUAGAGGAUGGGGCUGUUACAGUGAAAGAAGAGGAAGACGCGUUCAGAGUGAAAGAGGAGGAGGAUGAGAAAGAGGAGGAUGUAGUUUUUGGUGUGAAAGAAGAGGAGGUUGGAGAUCUGUUUAACCCCAGUUUUCUGUCCUCAGAUAAAGAGCUCUAUGAAAGCCAGUCUACAUAUGAAGAGGUCCCAAUGAAGAGCAGUGGUUCUCAGUCCUGGGGACUCAGAGGCACAUUGUUGUUUUUGCCUCAGCACUGCAGGGCUGAUUCAAAUGAUCAACUCAUCAUCAAGCUUCAAGUGAUACCUUGUAACUGGAGAUUCCUUCAAAACGAUUGCCUACAGUUACCGUGUAGGGCACUGCAAGGUUGGGUGACCAGGGUCAUCUGGGACUGCCUCCUGGAGGAAUUCAGGUGUGUGAAGGCUACCUGUGUCCUGCGUAACGUCAUGACGAUGGACACGAGGACCAGGAGGGGAUCUGCAGCUCGCCGCCGUGUCCCAGAGGAGGAGUCUGCUGCUCUGCAGGAUGUUUCGAGGAUGGGGUCUAACAACGCAGCAAGAGAGGCAAUCCGUGUGCAGGAGAUCUUCACCUCCUACUUCUUCAAAGAGGGUGCUGUUCGCUGGCAACACCAUAGACUACACUAUGCACAACCAAAGGCUCUUUUAAGAGGGUGCUGUUCCCUGGCAACACCAUAGACUACACUAUGCUCAACCAAAGGCUCUUUUAAGAGCCAUUCACAUUGCAAUAGGAGUAUUCCAUUUACUUAGCUAUGUCAACUGCAGUUAUUCAAUUCAUAGUUUCUCUCCCUUUGAUUUCUACUUCUCAGGUGAGGGUGUAAUGUCUGUGCAAAAACAAAACAGGCUAUUUUAAAUCACCCAUAUUGAAAAAAUGUAGAACAAUUAGACACCCUAUAACCCACACCUACACACUCAUGUAUCAAUCUGAUUGAUGGAUUGUGUUGUGCAGUAAGCAGGCUCAGGUGUAUUACUGUGGCUCCUUCCACCUUCAAAGAAUAGGCAAGAGGGCCAACCAUGGAGAAUAGUUAUCUCAGCUGUGUCGGUGAACCCCUCCUGCAUCUGAACUGGCUACAUAGAGGGCACAGCAUGGUCAG